GGGAUCUGUGUCUCUCGCUGGUGCUGGCACAGGAGCUUGGGAUCUGUCUCCUCUUUCGCCUCCUGCACCUUGAGAGCCCUGGGCUACUCUGUCACAGCCCCUGUUGCCCUGCGAUCUGUAGGUCCUUGGGGACGCAUAGUUAAGGUGCCAGGACAUCCUGGAAGCUGGGAAAUGAUUUCUUCCAGACCAUGGCUGGAGAAGGAAAGAAGGUGUGUUUUGCCUGAUUCAGGGACUAUAGAGAGAACCAAGUUCUGCAGGCCUGUCAUCUAAGUCUCAGCUGGGUGUCACAAACUCUGAACUGGAUUCCAAGGCUUUCAUGAAUGCACUUAUGUUUGCUGUGGCAGCUGCAUUAUGUCGUGGGGGAUGUGGAUGCAGAACCUCCCAUUCUGUCGUCUUGCUUAUGUUACUCUCCUUUAUGUUUCACUUUCUCAAAUGAAUGUCAAGCAGGUGAUUUUCAGAUUCAAAAGUUCUAAAAUAAAUUGCUCAAAUUUACACAUUAUGUAAGCUGUUAAUAAAAUUUCUUGUAGGUGCUACAUAUUUAUUAAAAUUUUUGGUUGUAAUUUUAAGCUCACUGUAGGCAGAAAGGAAUCAUUAAGAUUUCUAUUCUUUUUUAGUCUGUAUCUAAAUGACCAUAUAUUUUAAUUCCAAAUAUUUACUUUAUACUUCAGUAAUGCUCAUUGUAUUUUGCAAAAUUUAUAUUGUUCUUUUAUUUGAAAAUAUAAGGCUUUUUUUAGCUCCUGAAAUCUAUAUUAUAGUCAUAUAGUUUUAUUAUAGUAUUUGAUAAGAAGAGCAGCAACAUAUUGAGAACAGAAUAAAAUUCUGCUGUCUUUUUAAUGAUUAUUUAUUAAAUUCUUCUCAUUAAAGCCUAUUAUUAAUGAUUGUAAUGUAUUUACUGUAUAAUUUUACUGCAAUUUAUUAAAUGCCAAUGACUUCUAA
ensembl:lncRNA novel transcript